CUACGAUCAACACGUAGGAUUGGACGCCCAACAACAUUUUUCUCUGGCUCCAUCCAAAACCAUGUGCUCAACAUAAUUUCUGAAAGUACAGUCAUGGCUACAAAAUCUCUUGCAGAUAGGGAUUAUGAGGCAUCACUUUCAGAUGCAGAUGCUGACUUAUCAUCAGGUGACGAAGGUCUCACAGAGCUACUUGUAGCCACUAAAAAGAGGAGGCUCAAUGGAAAAAAACUUGGUGUGAGCCGGACAAACUGGAGUGGUACAGGAGCACAUGUGAAUUUAUGUGCCACCAUAAUUUAAGCGCCACGGUAGCAUCAGCAUAUAUUUUUAGGUCCUAAAAGGAGUUACUUGUUUUCUUGGAAUUAUUUUUCUGCCGCUUAUUGUUUGCAGCUAGCAUGAGCGUCUAUACUAGCACCAUAUUAUUUUCUGGCGCUGUAAUUACAUCAAUUACUGAAGGCCUCUUUUUAACUGUUUUUACGUAACCACAACCCCCCCUCCAUAGCUCCCCUCCAUAGCUCCUGAAGUAACACCCACCUCAACUCCACCUCAACUCCCAAUUCAAGGACCACCCGAAAUGUCUCUCAGGGUGAGUUUGUGCCAUUACCAAUUAUUUGGACGUUGCACAAACAAUUGGUAACCUGGAUCAUCUGCAAACACGCCUCGAACGCAUCACAGCCACACAAAGAAAUCUUGCAACAAAUCGUUCCCGUGAUUCUAAGGUUCUUAAGAGGUGCAUAAUAAUUAUGUUACUCACGUUAACCAGCAGAAAGUGAGUACUCCUGUAUCAAGUGAUGCUGCAGCAAAGAGAAAAAUACCGUCCGUUGUUAGAUCUGAAACGCGGAAAACUUACAAGAUGCUAGUGGAUGAUUGUGAAAGCUUCGAAGGAUUUUGUAUUGGACAUGAGUGAGUUACAUAUGCUUAAACUUGUUGCAUUUGCAUCCUGCAGAUUCACCUGGCGUAGCGAACAGAAUCAAGCUGCGCUUCUUACUGAAGUUCAAGCAAUAAAUAAUGGGCCUGUGACAUUCAAGGAAAAUUCCUUGUCUGUAAGGGGCAAGUCUGACGGGCGGAAAACAACACGGAGGAGAUGUGAGAGGAGUAGACGUAAACUCCAAGAACGCUUGAGUACAUUUCACAAAAAGAAAUGGUCUAGUGUUUUGGUGAUGGAGUUCAUUUCAAGUGGUGAUGAUGAAAAGAACCACGUAGAGUUGCCUUGGCGAGCCUCCCUGGUGAAUUGCAGAUCUAGACAGCGAACAUCUUUCUACAAAGUCUGCCCAGGCAAAACAGCAAACGAAGGACCGUGCAGUGGUAUCUUCUCGGCCACCGCCAGACCGUACAGGGUUACCUGCCUGGGCUUUAGUGUAACUACUGAACAUCAAACUGAACAUGUUUCUGCAAUCAUUUUUUUGUCGUUCCAUUAUAAAUUUUAUGUGAUUAUAAAUCAUAUAUAAUUCGUGGGGAUGAAACGUGAAACAACAAACAUGAUAUUGUUUUAGAGAUUUCAUGUGCAUGAAGGUGAAUCAACUAAUAGAAUUUCUGCUGCAAGAAACAUGAUAUUGUUUUAGAGAUUUCAUGUGCAUGAAAGGUGAAUCAACUGAUAGAAUUUCU